UACGAAGGGUGCAAGCGUUACUCGGAAUUACUGGGCGUAAAGCGUGCGUAGGUGGUCUGUUAAGUCUGAUGUGAAAGCCCUGGGCUCAACCUGGGAAUUGCAUUGGAUACUGGCAGGCUAGAGUGCGGUAGAGGAUGGCGGAAUUCCCGGUGUAGCAGUGAAAUGCGUAGAGAUCGGGAGGAACAUCUGUGGCGAAGGCGGCCAUCUGGACCAGCACUGACACUAGGGCACGAAAGCGUGGGGAGCAAACAGG
rnacentral:rRNA from 1 species